rnacentral:rRNA from 1 species
UGGGGAAUUUUGGACAAUGGGGGCAACCCUGAUCCAGCAAUGCCGCGUGUGUGAAGAAGGCCUUCGGGUUGUAAAGCACUUUUGUCCGGGAAGAAAUCGCACCUGAUAAUACCGGGUGUGGAUGACGGUACCGGAAGAAUAAGGACCGGCUAACUACGUGCCAGCAGCCGCGGUAAUAGGUAGGGUCCAAGCGUUAAUCGGAAUUACUGGGCGUAAAGCGUGCGCAGGCGGUUGUGCAAGACCGAUGUGAAAUCCCCGGGCUUAACCUGGGAAUUGCAUUGGUGACUGCACGGCUAGAGUGUGUCAGAGGGGGGUAGAAUUCCACGUGUAGCAGUGAAAUGCGUAGAGAUGUGGAGGAAUACAGAUGGCGAAGGCAGCCCCCUGGGAUAACACUGACGCUCAUGCACGAAAGCGUGGGGAGCAAACAGG